rnacentral:rRNA from 1 species
UUUAGGAGCAACAUCACCCUACAACUCACACCUGGCAACCCACUGAAGCUCAGUAAGUGUGAGCCUGGCCAGUACCUGGAUGGGAGACCUCCUGGGAAAAACUAAGGUUGCUGCUGGAA